GACAGAGGUGCCGAGCGUUAGGCGGAAUCACUGGGCUUAAAGCGUGUGUAGGCGGGUCCGUAAGUACCUUGUGAAAUCCCACGGCUCAACCGUGGAACUGCUCGGUAUACUGCGGGUCUUGAGCUGUCUAGGGGCGACCGGAACAAGCGGUGGAGCGGUGAAAUGCGUAGAUAUCUGGAGGAACACCGGUGGCGAAGGCGGCAUCCUGGACCAUUACUGACGCUGAGGAGCGAAAGCCAGGGGAGCAAACGGG
rnacentral:rRNA from 1 species